CAAGGGAGUCAGUAGAGUGGCAAACGGGUGAGGUAACACGUGGGUGACCGUGCCUUCGAGUGGGGGAUAACGUCCCGAAAGGGAACGCGUAAUACCGCAUGACAUCCUGCCUUGAAGAGGUGGAGCUUAAAGCUGGGGAUCGCAAGACCUAGCGCGUUGAAGAGGGGCCCGCGUCUGAUUAGCUAGUUGGGUGAGGUAACGGCUCACCAAGGCAACGAUCAGUAUCCGGCCUGAGAGGGCGGACGGACACACUGGGACUGAGACACGGCCCAGACUCCUACGGGAGGCAGCAGUGGGGGAAUUGUUCGCAAUGGGCGGCAAGCCUGACGACGCAACGCCGCGUGGAGGAUGAAGAUCUUCGGGUCGUAAACUCCUUUCGAUCGAGGCGAACGGCCCCUGGGCUAAUCACCAGGGGAGUGACGGUACCGAGAGAAGAAGCCCCGGCUAACCCCGUGCCAGCAGCCGC
rnacentral:rRNA from 1 species